rnacentral:lncRNA from 1 species
CCCAAGACACAACCACUCAAAUUUCCCAUUUCAAUUUCUUUGUUAAUGAGUAUUUGCUUCAAGAUAUAAAGACCCACUUUUGUCGUUUCUUACCCAUGUUUCUUUUCUGUUGUCUAGCAACAGGAGCGUGAUGAUGAUGAUCAUCUGGUGAAACAGUCUUCCUCAUACAUAUGGGGCCCUUUAUCCCAUCUUAAACGUGCUCAGGACCACCAUUGAACAUGAUGAAAAUUCAUCUUAGUG